GCGCCCUUAGCUCAGAUGGUAGAGCAUCUGACUUUUAAUCAGGUGGUCGCUGGUUCGAGUCCAGCAGGGCGCACCA
rnacentral:tRNA from 1 species